GCGCCCAUAGUUUAAUGGAUAGAACGCUAGCUUGCGGAGCUUGUAAUCCAGGUUCGAUUCCUGGUGGGCGCACCA
rnacentral:tRNA from 1 species